UACGAAGGGGGCUAGCGUUGCUCGGAAUCACUGGGCGUAAAGGGUGCGUAGGCGGGUCUUUAAGUCAGGGGUGAAAUCCUGGAGCUCAACUCCAGAACUGCCUUUGAUACUGAGGAUCUUGAGUUCGGGAGAGGUGAGUGGAACUGCGAGUGUAGAGGUGAAAUUCGUAGAUAUUCGCAAGAACACCAGUGGCGAAGGCGGCUCACUGGCCCGGUACUGACGCUGAGGUGCGAAAGCGUGGGGAGCAAAC
rnacentral:rRNA from 1 species